GCGCGUUUAGCUCAGUGGGAGAGCGCUUCCCUGACACGGAAGAGGUCACUGGUUCAAUCCCAGUAUCGCGCACAA
rnacentral:tRNA from 1 species